GGCGGGAAGAGGGAAGAUUUGUUGACCAUCAGGUGUCCUGAAUUGUCUUAAGCAGAGGAGGCCUGUGAGAAAAAGAAGCAAGAGACAAGGAAGUGGGAGCCAGGGCCCCGUCCAAGGGGGCUGGACCCUAAUUCAAAGACAGUGGGACCAUGGCUUCUGUGUCCAGUGCGGGGGUGUAGGGGCUGUGCUUCCAAAGGACACAGCCCAGACUGAAGGGGAUGGUCAGAGACGGGUCAUAGAAUCCAUCCUCUCACAACGCAGCAGAUGCCUGGCCCACUGCCAAGGUCGUGGGAAAGGGAGCGACCAGAGAUGGGGUGGGGGGCGCAGAGAGCUCCAGCAGAGAGGCGAACGAGAGCAGGGGCAGCGAGGGCUGUGGGAGAUGGAAAUCCACCUUCUCCAUGAGGGGGUGGGAUGGUGCUUAUACAGGACACCACCCGUAAAACAAAAAAGAGAAAAAGAAAAGGUGGGAUGAUAAAGUCCUUCUGGUCAUUUUACAAAAAAGUCCUGCAGGAGAGGAAAACCCUGUAGGAAAGGAGACUGGGGGUUGGGGGCUGGGGUUUGAGGUGGGCUGCAGGGCAGGAGGAGAGGAGGGGUUGGAGGUCGAGGGGAGGGGCGUGGGUGAGGGGGAGCAGGCGGGCCUCCGAGGAAAGCCUCCAGAGUCUGCCCCUUGGCCUGGGGGGACUGGUGACUAAAGCGGUCUCAAUGAGGGGCAGUACGUGGUGAGGAACAAAGUCCGGGGGGAUGUUAGGAGCUCAACUGCACUGAAUCAGAUCCUCUUGAAUGUAGCACAGUCGGCGGCAUCAGAUGAGAUAGUGAAAAGAGAAUUCCAUUCAGGUGGUUCACCUGCAGAGACUUGAAAGAGGGUGUGGGCAGAACUAAAGAGACUAACCCCCAGAGACCAGCAACAGCCGAAGCCACCCACCCCGGGCCUGAGCAGAGGGCAGUGAAGGUGGGACUGCGGCCCCAGAGAGGGCGGUCACACGGUCAUCAAUGUAGGGCCAGCACGGGGAUGGACAGAGAAGAAACACCCCAACUUCUCCCCCACUGCGGGCUCCUGGGUAGUGCUCACUGACUGAUCACAACAGAGAGUGGGGCGCGAGGCAGCCCAGGUGAUGUGAUUGUUCGGGACCACAGCCCUCCCAGGUGCCAAGCAAGGCAGGGAAGGGAUUUGAGGGCAGAGCAAAUGGAGAUGAACUGACACACACAGCUUGCAAGCAGCUUUCCCCCGAAUCCAUCAGAACACGAUGAUGUCGCUGGUGUGUGAUCCACACUGCUCUUCUCUCUGUGCGGGGGCAAUCAAGAGUAGAAGGAAGAGUUUCUCAGGACAUUGAAGUCAUUCUGCUUGUCAUCACCAAAAAUGUGCCCCUCAAAGAGCCAACUCAUUGGAAAAGAUCCUGAUGCUGAGAAAGAUUGAAGGCAGAAGGGCGCGACAGAGGCCGAGUUGGUUGGACGGCAUCACCGACUCAGUGAACAUGAGUUUGAACAAACUCCGGGAGAUGGUGAAGGACAGGGAAGCCUGGCGUGCUGCAGUCCAUGGGGUCACAAAGAGCUGGACAUGACUUAGCAACUGAACAGUGGUGACAUCAGCCUCAAAGCAGAAAUAGGUUUCCAUAAAGAUCUUCACUAGCGUUGAGCAUGGUACAGUGAUUACUUUUCAGGGGUUUUUUUAGGCUCUUCUUUUUUACAUAACCAAGCUUGAUAUUUAUUUAUGUAAAUUUUGGGAGCAGCACGGAUCUGCUUUGGAUGUCAAAUGUAGCCAUCUUUGCUGUGGGGCCAGGCCUCCCCCCGGCCAGAAUCUCAGGAAGGGAGCUUUUGUCAGAAACUGUCCUGAAGAGGGGGAAGCUUAUGAGCUUGGGAUUAGACAAAUCUGGGUUCAAAUCCCAGCUCUGACACUUAGCCCUGCAUUACCUUGAACAUGUACUUUAUCUACUUUCUCUUCUGUUAAAUAAAGAUAGAAGACAUGGAAGGGUCAAGCACUUAGCCCAGUACAUGGGAACUACUCAGUACAUGUUAUCUAUGGUUAUUCAUGUUGAUUAUGGUUGUUGUCAUUGAUACUGUUAUCAUCACCCUGCUGUUGAUCCUUCUUAGUUUUUAUGUAUUUGUGUCCUGGGUGUCUGUCUGGGCACUGUUCCUGGAGCUCAAGAAUUUUUGGUCUGACUCUGACUCUCCGCUACCCAAUCAUUUAUUGUCUGGAUUCCUAAAAUGCUCCUUGCUUGCCUGGAUCCUCCUCUGAUGUCCUUAAUUUCCUUGUAGGUCCUUGCUUUCCACCACCAGAUCAUCCUGUUGUGUCAGAGGACAGUUUCUAGUCCAGAAAGUUUGGCUUCCCCCUGGUGCCCCAUCAUAUCUCAGCCCUUUAGACCUGACCUGACAUCUGGAACUUGCUCUGUAUAUGAGCCCUCUUGCCCAGUCUAACAUCAGAUAUGGCAUGGUAUCUCCCUUUAGCCAGCCUUCUCUUCCAUCUGUAUGGUAUAUUGUGACUUUUCAACAUGUGAUGACUUUAUCUGGACCACUGCAGGCCCAACUCCUUUCUCUGAGCCCAUCCAAUCUCUUCUGUUCAAAGUCCUAGUUUCAAGAAUUAACCUUAAUAGAAUUAUCCACAUUCUCCACUUCAAAAGGAUUCUUCAUUACCCUAUAUGAUGAUUCUUAGAAUAAAAACCAUAUGACAUUUCCCCCAAAUGUAUUUGCUUUCUGUUCCUCAAGUAUUUUAUAUUCAACAG
ensembl:lncRNA